GACAGAGGUGCCAAGCGUUAGGCGGAAUCACUGGGCUUAAAGCGUGUGUAGGCGGGCCGGUAAGUACCUUGUGAAAUCCCCCGGCUCAACCGGGGAACGGCUGGGUAUACUGGCGAUCUUGAGCCACCUAGGGGCAGUCGGAACAAGUGGUGGAGCGGUGAAAUGCGUAGAUAUCACUUGGAACGCCAAUGGUGAAAACAGACUGCUGGGGGUGUGCUGACGCUGAGACACGAAAGCCAGGGGAGCAAACGGG
rnacentral:rRNA from 1 species